ACGGGUAUUUUCCUCUGAAGGACGAUUAAGAAGUGCUUAGAGGCUCAGAAGUGCAAGUGAGAACUGUAACUACAGUCGAAGUACCAAGUCGAAAUUACGGACGGAUAUUUAUUCCGACUUGCGAAAACUGAAAAGAACAGACAAAGUUGUUGAUACAAGAGAUGCGAAGAAAAUCUCUUUUUUCAUUAUUUUCUCACAUUCUAACAUUCCCGUUUCUAACAUUUAUUAUGUUGCAAUAUUUGUGUCGCUUGCUUUGUCAGUUUCAUAUAAUUCCCGUUCAAGAGAUGAUUAAUUAAAGCAGCUUUAAGUUUCGAAAUCGAUGGAAGCAGAACGGAAGUUAAUAAGGCGCGAACGAUACGGUCGAGAGAAGACAGAGCACUGUGGUUUAUUUGGGUCGUUGACGAAUGCCAUAUACGUGACUUUCUAUUAUCCCUCGUAUACUCUCUGUCACCCUCUUGUGCAACUACCAAUCCCGGCACUUUAACUGCCUAAACUGCGGAAACUACAGCGAAUACUACGUCCUAACAUAACAGAUGCAUCUCUUAGCCGAUUAAAUAGCUCGAGUUCGCCAAGAAACAUUCAAAAUGCAAGAACAAAGUAUGAGGAACGGUCUGCGACAAUCGCUUUCUGGGAUAAAGGAAAUAAUAUCGGAACGAGUUAUCUCAGAAGUGGCUCGGAGAGCGUUUAAAGGAUUGGGUCUCAGAGCAAUAAUUGAAUCUCUCCGCUCGUUCUCGUAUCUGGCAGGGUAUCAUGAGAUCGGGAGGACGAUGAGAUAAGAAUCGCUAUGUCAGUAGGAAAGGAAAAUGAGGGGGUGCGCACCGACGUAUCUGCCAACCGGCACCGCCCUUCGUUCAAAUACGACCGCGCGACCAGUUAAGAAUAUUUUAUCGUGGAAUAUUCGCGCGCAAAGAUCGGUAGACGGUCCCACACUCCUGCAGGAAUUCUCCUGACAUAGCAGAUUUUGCAAGGGUCCGACCGUGCCGACUGCGUGAGCAUUUUUCUUUCUUAUCUUUCGGCUUCCCUUUGCCGCUGUACCUCCGCUGCGACAGACACGUGCCAAGUGAAAUGAAGGAAAUAAAAAUUCGAAACGAUUCGCGGAAGAUUAAUCUUAAACAUCGAGACAAUAGGAUUUAGUGAGAAACGGAAGAUGUGAAGCAUCGAUAAUGUGAUUCAUGAAGAUGUAAUAUGUAUUAGAGAGGAAAGAGAGAUAUACAUGUAACGAUCAAAUAUCUUUUUAUGACUAACGACAUAGUGGAGAAAAAAUCAUAAGAAUCAUUCGUAAAUAGUAUUAUAAAGGUUUCAAUUUUAGUUCAUACAACAACUAACAAGUAUUUCAAGCACCAUAGAAUGGAGAAACAGGUCAAACAGAACAAUCGUAAGAGUGCAUUCAUUAGCGCGCCGGCGCGGCCAAUUAUUUUCAUACAGUUCAUUGGAAAUUAAACUAUAAUCUUUUAUCUGGUGUGACUUUACUUAAGUAUACUUCUAUUAAAUAAUCGUGUGCCUACAUAAAUUCAUAUUUAAAUAACACUAAU